rnacentral:lncRNA from 1 species
GGCAACACCCAUCAAUCGCCGGGUCGCCUGUUCAUUCUUUAUUCUCUCGUAGUAGAGCCAUAGUAGAGUAAAGCACGUGUCGUAAAACCUUGUUGUCACAGUUUCUCCAUGGCUAUUUUAUUGAUUUUAUUGGAUGUUUUGAUUUUGUAUUUUUUUGGAUUCGAUUUUCUUAGUGUGUAGUGUCGGUUUAGUGUUUAUUUUGAUUACUUUUUAUUUAAAAACUAUAAAACAUGGUUCGUCAGUGCCAAAUUUGUAAGAAAUUGGACUAUUUAAGUCCUGGAACAACAUUCCACAGAUUAUGCUGCCAAAGUUUCCUGAAUACAAUUCCGACCACUCUGUAUAUCAAGAUAUCCCCCAUUACGUACUAGUUUUUCUUAAUAAUUUUCUAUACAUUUUCCAACGCCAAGAUGUACCAAGCGCAUACAAAUACAUCAAGCUUCAAACAAGCUUGCACGUUGACAGUAAUACCUACAGUAAUAUUGUAUUAUAUUAAUGUAAUAUUUUUGAACCAAUGUUCAAUAUUACUGUAGUAAUACUGUUUAUACUCAUGCCUUUUAUAUUUGUUUGAAUUUGGUGCAUAUUUCCAUUGAAUAAAGUAUAGUCACCAUUACCAUUAUUAUACUUACUCUAUAAUAAAGACAGUAACGAGUUAAA